rnacentral:rRNA from 1 species
AGAAUCAACGCUGGCGGCGUGCCUAACACAUGCAAGUCGAACGAGAAAGUGGAGCAAUCCAUGAGUAAAGUGGCGCACGGGUGAGUAACACGUGACUAACCUACCCUUGAGUGGGGGAUAACCUAGGGAAACCUGGGCUAAUACCGCAUAAUACCUUCGGGUCAAAGGAGCAAUUCGCUUAAGGAGGGGGUCGCGGCCGAUUAGUUAGUUGGCGGGGUAAUGGCCCACCAAGACUGUGAUCGGUAUCCGGCCUGAGAGGGCGCACGGACACACUGGAACUGAAACACGGUCCAGACUCCUACGGGAGGCAGCAGUGGGGAAUUUGCGCAAUGGGGGAAACCCUGACGCAGCAACGCCGCGUGGAGGAUGAAGCCCCUUGGGGCGUAAACUCCUUUCGAUCGGGACGAUAAUGACGGUACCGGAAGAAGAAGCCCCGGCUAACUUCGCGCCAGCAGCCGC